rnacentral:rRNA from 1 species
UACGAAGGGGGCUAGCGUUGCUCGGAAUCACUGGGCGUAAAGCGCACGUAGGCGGAUUGUUAAGUCAGGGGUGAAAUCCUGGAGCUCAACUCCAGAACUGCCUUGAUACUGGCGAUCUCGAGUCCGGGAGAGGUGAGUGGAACUGCGAGUGUAGAGGUGAAAUUCGUAGAUAUUCGCAAAGAACACCAGUGGCGAAGGCGGCUCACUGGCCCGGUACUGACGCUGAGGUGCGAAAGCGUGGGAGCAAACAGG